rnacentral:rRNA from 1 species
GAUGAACGCUGGCGGCGUGCUUAACACAUGCAAGUCGAACGGUGAAGCAGAGCUUGCUCUGUGGAUCAGUGGCGAACGGGUGAGUAACACGUGAGCAACCUGCCCUGGACUCUGGGAUAAGCGCUGGAAACGGCGUCUAAUACUGGAUACGAGACGUGGCCGCAUGGUCAACGUUUGGAAAGAUUUUUUGGUUCAGGAUGGGCGCGCGGCCUAUCAGCUUGUUGGUGAGGUAAUGGCUCACCAAGGCGUCGACGGGUAGCCGGCCGGAGAGGGUGACCGGCCACACUGGGACUGGGACACGGCCCAGACUCCUACGGGAGGCAGCAGUGGGGAAUAUUGCACAAUGGGCGAAAGCCUGAUGCAGCAACGCCGCGUGAGGGAUGACGGCCUUCGGGUUGUAAACCUCUUUUAGCAAGGAAGAAGCGAAAGUGACGGUACUUGCAGAAAAAGCGCCGGCUAACUACGUGCCAGCAGCCGCCGUAAUAC